CAGAAAUUGUCACACUGAAGUAGAUAAUAACAAAUGACAAGCAAUUUCGAUUACGGUAAGUUUAUCAUCUGUAUGUGCAAGUUCAAUACAGCUAUUAACUGGUAAAUACCUUCCUUAUCAUCCUAACAAUUAUGCCCAGAAAAAAACUGAUGGAUGGAUGCCAGCUAAUUCAACCCAGCUCUCUCCGCCCUUCUUCAAACCACCAUCUCUCAUUACCCUCCUGACAUUUUCUGCUUUCUCCCAUGUCCCAGCAUCGACAUGCAUGUUCGCAACCAUAACAAGAUUCGCACUUCUCGUUGGCUCUAGUUCAAGCAACUUCUUUCUUACCUUAUAUGCUACUCCAUUCCUGUCAUUAACAUCA
rnacentral:misc_RNA from 1 species